rnacentral:rRNA from 1 species
AUUGAACGCUGGCGGCAGGCGUAACACAUGCAAGUCGAACGAGUGGCGGACGGGUGAGUACUGUCUGGGAAACUGCCUGAUGGAGGGGGAUAAAUACUGGAAACGGUAGCUAAUACCGCAUACCAUCAGAUGUGCCCAGAUGGGAUUAGCUAGUAGGUGGUGUAACGGCUCACCUAGGCGACGAUCCCACGCUGGUCUGAGAGGAUGACCAGCCAUACUGGAACUGAUGCACGGUACAGACUACGACGGUGUGCAGCAGUGGGGAAUAUUGCACAAUGGGCGCAAGCCUGAUGCAGCCAUGCCGCGUGUGUGAAGAAGGCCUGCGGGUUGGAAAGCACUUUCAGCGGGGAGGCGUUACCCGCAGAAGAAGCACCGGCUAACUCCGUGCCAGCAGGCGCGUAAUAC